AACUUUCGGCAAUGGAUCUCUUGGCUCUCGCAACGAUGAAGAACGCAGCGAAACGCGAUAUGUAAUGUGAAUUGCAUAAUUCCGUGAAUCAUCAAAUCUUUGAACGCACAUUGCACUCUGUUUACGCAGAGUAUGCCUGUUUGAGAAUCUAUAGUAUUCAUUUCUGGUUUAUUUUAAACCGGGAGAUUUGCUUUGUGUCUGGUUUCGACCAGACUAUUGCUAAAUGCAUUACUUGACUGGUAGAAGACGUUUGUACUAACUAUGUUGUCGAAAAGCUAUGAAUGAGGCGAAAGUUUCUUUUGGCAGAGUAGACAAGUAAGCUGGGAGUUUAUCUGGCAGGUAGAGUUCAUACCUUAUAGGCGCUGGGUAAUACCAGUGAUCUGAACCAAGGUCUCAAAUCAGGUAGGAAGACCCGCUGAACUUAAGCAUAUCAAUAAGCGGAGGCU
rnacentral:misc_RNA from 1 species